CUGGGACACAGACUCAUCAAACAACCCACCAGGCAACAUGGCCUUGGCACAAUUUCUCAGUGAGAGGUUGCCAUGGCUACACUUAUUUAAAAUGUAGUGAAGAAUAAAUCUGGAAGAGAAGAGUUUCCACUGUGAUUAGAUCACAAUGUGAAAGCUUGUAUCCGUCUGGUUAAUGUGACCAAACAGGAGCUCAGGAAUGCCAGCUUUAAGAUUCCACAGGCUAGGCGAAGCAACACAGGAUAACGAGUUGGAAGCUACAGUCAUCUCCAUGGCAACAGACUGAUGCAGGUAAUGACGGAUGAGUCACGGUUGACCUUGCGCGGAGGGAAAGGAGUCGUUUCUCAGGAGUAAUACGGGUCCUGACUGCCUGAGCUCCUCGCGUUUCCUGCUUCGGCAAAAGCCUCGGCAGGUGGCAAGCCCUGCAUUGCGAUUGCUGUGCGGAGAUUUUCAGUUACACAAAAGGCAGAGCAAAGAGGAAUUCAUUCAAACUGACUGCGGCAUUUCACCGGUUCGCCGAGGACCAUUUGCUUUCUUUUCCUUCAUUUCCCACGUCCUCCCAAACACCAAACAGAGGUGAGAGGUCAGAGAGGCAACUCUCGUGCAGUUCUGUCUGCACGUCUAAAUGCACAUCGGUCCUCUUAUCUGAAAAAGUAAAAUCUCUCCAAACAAAAUUACUCCCAUUAUAGUAAUGUAUACAGCUUUUGUUGCAAGAUGGAACAUUAUCAUCAAAGUGUCGGUCUAAUUUUUCAUUGUCUCACUAUCCCCCUGCCCCCAGAUUACAAUCCACUGACUGAA